GGGUCUGAGCGUCUUGGCUUCAUAGAAUCUCAGAGUUGGGAGGGAUAUUAAAAGUCAACCAUUAUAUUAACUCAUAUUUCCAUAGCAUUAUAGAACAUACAAAGAGCUUUCCUUGAGACAGUUAUCAAGGCCAAACUCUAAUGGUACCCGAAUUCUCUCUAUGAUAGUCAGUCUUUGCUGGAAGACCUCCAAGGACGGGAAGGUCAGUAAUUCCUUACUAGCUGUGUGACUUUGGGGAAAUUACCUUAUCUCUCUGAGUGUCUGUUCUGUCAUCUUUCAAAUGGUGAUGAUAAUACUAACACAACCUAUUGUUUUGGUAGGCUUACCUUGGAAGUUUUAAAGGGCUGUGGAAAUGAAUGCCAUUAUCAUUAUUAUCAUCAUCAGUAGCCUCUUCCAUUUCUGGAGUGGUCUGACUGUUGGAAAGUCAAUCUGUGACAGGUGGAAUGACUUUGCCCAGUGAUAAAACCUUGGGUGGAGGAGGAUGGAAGGAAGAAAGGAUACCUAUCAAUCAAUCAGUCAAGCCUCCCAAACACUAAGCUAGCUCUGGAAAUGUGUGUAUAAAUCUCAUCAUUUGUGUGUACGUCCCUGGAAAGUUUUCUGCCAAGCCAGACAGCCAGACAGACAGCCAGACCCCAGGGCCUGCCUACAAGCCCUGCAGGGAGGACGAAGAAGCCCUCCGCAAACAUGGAAUACCAUGGAAACGCCAGAGCAGCAGCUUCAGAGAUGAGAAGAGCCAAGGUUGCCAGGACUGAAAAGCCCAGGAGGAGAGGAGACUACUAAAUAAGAACCGGGCACAGAGCUGGGGCUGCUGGGUCUGCAGCGCUUGGCCCUUUGUAGCUCCUGGGGAAAUCACUGCCUUCGGAUAGCUCUUCCAAAGCCGGGUCUCCUGCUUCCCGCCCCUUGCGUUUGGAAUCAGAGCUACUGCUGAGCAUCUGAAGCCCCCAAAACAAAAUCAGCCUCCCUCAGUCCCUGGCUGAGAGGGAUUGCCUAACACCAGGAAGGGAAAAGACAGAUCCCUGCCUCUUGGCUGGCUACCUGAUC
rnacentral:lncRNA from 1 species